GUAGUUUUUCCCCUCAGGGCCUUGAUGAACCUAUACUGGUGGUUUUAAGUUAUGUCUGACAUAUGUCUGUGCAGUUUCUGGGAUGCUUAGACCUCAAAAUGCACUGUUGGAAAUUAUUUUAUUUUCUAUGUUUUGUUCUGUUACUUUUCUAAAAACAGAUGGUGAUCUUUUCUAAAAGCGAUAGGACAGGUGUGGAGGAGAGUGAAGCAAGAGAAUGGGUUCCUAAGUCUGUGAGCUCAUCUGAAGAUGAUGGGACAGAUGACUGGAAACCCACACAGGAUGAAUCUGAAGGCUAUUCAGAAGAGGAGGAAGAACAAGAACGUAAAAGGAUUCCUAAGAUGGUGGCAGCAUCUGAAGAGGAUGGGACACAUGAUAGCAGACCCACACAAGAUGAAUCUAAAGAUGAUUCAAAGGAUGAAGCAGAACAUUUGGGACAAAUGAUUCACAAAGUGGCCAUGGAAAAGAUGCAGCAGGCCUAUGUAAGCCAAGACAAAGCAAUGACUGUGAAUAAGAGUUCAGAAAAAAGGGUGAUUCACCAAACCAGAUGCUUGAAGAGGCUCACUUUUCAUCAGUCAACUCUCUUUGAAGACACGAUACCAAGAUCUGAUAACAACAAGAAAGACCAAAGUGGAAUGUCAUCUGCAGCAAUAAUAACCUCAGAACAACUGGAGGAGAAAGAGAUACAAGAAGAGUCUCUGGAGAAGAUGAAGAGUGAAGACAAAGAAGGGAAGAGAAAAGAAAAAGUACAGCAGGAGCCUCUGGAGAAGAUGAGCGGCAAAAGGCAAAGGAAGGAAGAAAAGAUACAGGCAGAGCCUCUGGAGAAGAUGAGCGGCAAAAGGCAAAGGAAGGAAGAAAAGAUACAGGCAGAGCCUCUGGAGAAGAUGAGCGGCAAAAGGCAAAGGAAGGAAGAAAAGAUACAGGCAGAGCCUCUGGAGAAGAUGAAGAGUGAAGCCAAAGUAGGAAAGAGAAAAGAAAAAGUACAGCAGAGCCUCUGGAGAAGAUGAAGAGUGAAGCCAAAGUAGGAAAGAGAAAAGAAAAAGUACAGCAGGAGCCUCAGGAGAAGAUGAGUGAAGGGGGAAAGGACUCUGAAAAUAAGGUGCAAUUUAUUCCAUUGCUCCCAGUAAGCCCAAGAAAUGCCUUAUUUGAGGGCUUUUGCAUUGUAUUUGUUUUUGAAGAUUCCAC
ensembl:lncRNA